UACGUAGGGACCAAGCGUUGUUCGGAUUUACUGGGCGUAAAGGGCGCGUAGGCGGCAUGACAAGUCACUUGUGAAAUCUCCGGGCUUAACUCGGAACGGCCAAGUGAUACUGUCAAGCUAGAGUGCAGAAAGGGCAAUCGGAAUUCUUGGUGUAGCGGUGAAAUGCGUAGAUAUCAAGAGGAACACCUGAGGCGAAGGCGGGUUGCUGGGCUGACACUGACGCUGAGGCGCGAAAGCUAGGGGGAGCGAACGGG
rnacentral:rRNA from 1 species